ensembl:lncRNA
GUGCGCUCGGUCUCGAGUCUGCCUCCAAUCUUAGAAUCGAUGCGGGAGUUUAUUUGGGAUGAAGCGCUGCUAAAUCCAGCGCUACACAACGCGUCCGCGCUUCAAUGGGUUUUGUUGACUUUGUUUUCCUCUGUUGUCAUCCUCUAUCUCCCUGCUCAUUCUCUCAACCCCCCCUCCCUCCCUCCUUCUCCCUCCAUCUCUCUCGAGCCUCACUGUAUCUCUCUCUCUCUCUAGCAUCUCGCUCUAUUCCUCUUUCUGGCUCUCUAGCAUAAAGUCCCUGUUCAGUUCUUGGCGUUCCUUCCUCCUGCUUGCCGCAGUCUUUAUAUCGAGCCGUGUGUCCGCAUCGAGUCAGUGUUGCGGGCUCCUGGGUGGAUGUGACUGAGGCCGGUGGAGGAACAAACUGACCCGCCGAGAUGACCACCGUGGCCCAGACGCACCACGAGGGGACAGAGCUGUCGGAGCUCCUGCGUGACAAGGAGCGCCGUGCCGAGCAGCAGCGGGGCCGCUGCGUGGAGGAGCGGGAGAGGAGGCUGGAGGAGCAGCGGAGGAAGGAGUCCAGGCGCCGCGCGGCCGCCGAGGGGAAGAGGAGGCUGCAGCAGGAGGAGGAGAAGGAGCGGCUGGAGGCGCUGGUCCGCCGGCGGGCGGGGGGCGCGGCGGACAAGAGGGGCCGCGGCGCCGGGGAGGCCGGCCGGGACCCCCCGGAGAACCGCCCAAGAGAUGGACCUGGGGGACCCCGGACGGAGCCGAGGUGAGUG